GAGGAUAUAGCUUGAUGGUAAAGUGUGUGCUUAGCAUGCACGAAGUCCUGGUUUCAAUCCCCAGUAUCUCCA
rnacentral:tRNA from 1 species